AUCUUGUUGGGAGUCUGGCUCUCGAGAUUCGGAGAGAUGUGCUUCUUCGAUUUUUGAGCAAGCAAUCUUGUUGGGAGUGUUUUCUCUAAUGUGAGUAAAGGUUGGGCGUUUUUGCCAAUCUACCUUGCCACGGAGCAUGGAGGUUGACACACAUAGGGACUUUCCAGUUAUCAAGCAGUGUGCUGUUCAUUUACCCUUGUGGCUAAUAGUAGGGUAGCUGGACCUUCAAAAUUUAUGUGUCUAAACUUUGUCAGAGAUCUUUGGCAAAGUUAUCUGUGGUACCCGAGGAGCUGAUGUUGCAUGUGGGGAUUGUCGACAUAUUUUACUCAGGAAAAUUUGCUUCUCGAAAUCCGGAAAGUGGUGUCUCUUCGAUUUUUGAACCAACGGCCCUGUUG
rnacentral:lncRNA from 1 species